AUUGAACGCUGGCGGCAGGCUUAACACAUGCAAGUCGAGCGGGGUGAUGGUGCUUGCACUAUCACUUAGCGGCGGACGGGUGAGUAAUGCUUAGGAAUCUGCCUAUUAGUGGGGGACAACAUCUCGAAAGGGAUGCUAAUACCGCAUACGUCCUACGGGAGAAAGCAGGGGACCGCUUGUGACCUUGCGCUAAUAGAUGAGCCUAAGUCGGAGUAGCUAGUUGGUGGGGUAAAGGCCUACCAAGGCGACGAUCUGUAGCGGGUCUGAGAGGAUGAUCCGCCACACUGGGACUGAGACACGGCCCAGACUCCUACGGGAGGCAGCAGUGGGGAAUAGUGGACAAUGGGGGGAACCCUGAUCUAGCAAUGCCGCGUGUGUGAAGAAGGCCUUAUGGUUGUAAAGCACUUUAAGCGAGGAGGAGGCUCUUUUGGUUAAUACCCAAGAUGAGUGGACGUUACUCGCAGAAUAAGCACCGGCUAACUCUGUGCCAGCAGCCGCCGUAA
rnacentral:rRNA from 1 species